rnacentral:rRNA from 1 species
UACGUAGGGUGCGAGCGUUGUCCGGAUUUAUUGGGCGUAAAGAGCUCGUAGGCGGUUUGUCGCGUCGGCCGUGAAAUCUCCACGCUUAACUGUGGGCUUGCGGUGGAUGCGGGCAGACUUGAGUUCGGUAGGGGAGACUGGAAUUCCCGGUGUAGCGGUGAAAUGCGCAGAUAUCGGGAGGAACACCGGUGGCGAAGGCAGUUCGCUGGGCCUGACCUGACGCUGAGGAGCGAAAGCGUGGGGAGCGAACAGG